GCACCCGUAGCUCAGUUGGAUAGAGCGGCCCCCUCCUAAGGGGCAGGUCACUGGUUCGACUCCAGUCGAGUGCA
rnacentral:tRNA from 1 species